rnacentral:rRNA from 1 species
AGUGAACGCUGGCGGUAGGCCUAACACAUGCAAGUCGAACGGCGGCACAGUAAGAGCUUGCUCUUACGGGUGGCGAGUGGCGGACGGGUGAGGAAUACAUCGGAAUCUACUUUUUCGUGGGGGAUAACGUAGGGAAACUUACGCUAAUACCGCAUACGACCUACGGGUGAAAGCAGGGGAUCUUCGGACCUUGCGCGAUUGAAUGAGCCGAUGUCGGAUUAGCUAGUUGGCGGGGUAAAGGCCCACCAAGGCGACGAUCCGUAGCUGGUCUGAGAGGAUGAUCAGCCACACUGGAACUGAGACACGGUCCAGACUCCUACGGGAGGCAGCAGUGGGGAAUAUUGGACAAUGGGCGCAAGCCUGAUCCAGCCAUACUGCGUGGGUGAAGAAGGCCUUCGGGUUGUAAAGCCCUUUUGUUGGGAAAGAAAAGCAGCAGGUUAAUACCCCGCUGUUCUGACGGUACCCAAAGAAUAAGCACCGGCUAACUUCGUG